GAAGAGAUCAAUUGGGAAGAAGAAAUUCAGUUUGAUCCAGGUAAAAGGAGAAGCAUAGAUGAGUACCAUCCCAAUCAGAGAGAUAUGGUAAGAAGGAAGUAUUUGGCCAAUGGCCCUUAUCAACCUCGUACUGCUGAUUUUGAAGUGACAGAAAUAUGUGGUAAAGAUAGAAGGUUCGUUCGGGAAUGGUUUGAUGAGUUUGGGAGCUGGACCGCGCAAGAAGAAAGAAGCCGGUUAUGAUGCAUUUGUUGCAAAUGGUUGGUCAAGUUGGAAUAAAAAAUAUAGAUUAAAGGAGCAUGUAUGAGACAUCAAUAGUGCUCACAACCAAGCAAAAAGAGAUUGUGAUGCUUUGCUGAAACAAAAG
rnacentral:rRNA from 1 species